GACGAACGCUGUCGGCGUGCUUAACACAUGCAAGUCGAACGGAAAGGCCCUGCUUUUGUGGGGUGCUCGAGUGGCGAACGGGUGAGUAACACGUGAGUAACCUGCCCUUGACUUUGGGAUAACUACAGGAAACUGGGGCUAAUACCGGAUAGGAGCUCCUGCUGCAUGGUGGGGGUUGGAAAGUUUCGGCGGUUGGGGAUGGACUCGCGGCUUAUCAGCUUGUUGGUGGGGUAGUGGCUUACCAAGGCUUUGACGGGUAGCCGGCCUGAGAGGGUGACCGGCCACAUUGGGACUGAGAUACGGCCCAGACUCCUACGGGAGGCAGCAGUGGGGAAUAUUGCACAAUGGGCGGAAGCCUGAUGCAGCAACGCCGCGUGCGGGAUGACGGCCUUCGGGUUGUAAACCGCUUUCGCCUGUGACGAAGCGUGAGUGACGGUAAUGGGUAAAGAAGCACCGGCUAACUACGUGCCAGCAGCCGCGGUGAUACGUAGGGUGCGAGCGUUGUCCGGAUUUAUUGGGCGUAAAGGGCUCGUAGGUGGUUGAUCGCGUCGGAAGUGUAAUCUUGGGGCUUAACCCUGAGCGUGCUUUCGAUACGGGUUGACUUGAGGAAGGUAGGGGAGAAUGGAAUUCCUGGUGGAGCGGUGGAAUGCGCAGAUAUCAGGAGGAACACCAGUGGCGAAGGCGGUUCUCUGGGCCUUUCCUGACGCUGAGGAGCGAAAGCGUGGGGAGCGAACAGGCUUAGAUACCCUGGUAGUCCACGCUGUAAACGGUGGGUACUAGGUGUGGGGUCCAUUCCACGGGUUCCGUGCCGUAGCUAACGCUUUAAGUACCCCGCCUGGGGAGUACGGCCGCAAGGCUAAAACUCAAAGGAAUUGACGGGGCCCCGCACAAGCGGCGGAGCAUGCGGAUUAAUUCGAUGCAACGCGUAGAACCUUACCUGGGUUUGACAUGGAUCGGGAGCGCUCAGAGAUGGGUGUGCCUCUUUUGGGGUCGGUUCACAGGUGGUGCAUGGCUGUCGUCAGCUCGUGUCGUGAGAUGUUGGGUUAAGUCCCGCAACGAGCGCAACCCUUGUUCACUGUUGCCAGCACGUUAUGGUGGGGACUCAGUGGAGACCGCCGGGGUCAACUCGGAGGAAGGUGGGGAUGACGUCAAGUCAUCAUGCCCCUUAUGUCCAGGGCUUCACGCAUGCUACAAUGGCUAGUACAGAGAGUGGCGAGCCUGUGAGGGUGAGCGAAUCCCGGAAAGCCGGUCUCAGUUCGGAUUGGGGUCUGCAACUCGACCUCAUGAAGUCGGAGUCGCUAGUAAUCGCAGAUCAGCAACGCUGCGGUGAAUACGUUCCCGGG
rnacentral:rRNA from 1 species